GACGAACGCUGGCGGCGUGCUUAACACAUGCAAGUCGAACGAUGAAACCUAGCUUGCUAGGUCGAUUAGUGGCGAACGGGUGAGUAACACGUGACUAACCUGCCCCUUUCUCUGGGAUAACGCUCCGAAAGGAGUGCUAAUACCGGAUACUCACAUCGAGGCACAUGCCUUGGUGUGGAAAGUUUUUCGGAAAGGGAUGGAGUCGCGGCCUAUCAGCUUGUUGGUGAGGUAACGGCUCACCAAGGCGACGACGGGUAGCCGGCCUGAGAGGGCGACCGGCCACACUGGGACUGGGACACGGCCCAGAAUCCGACGGGAGGCAGCAGGGGGAAAUAUUGCACAAUGGGCGCAAGCCUGAUGCAGCGACGCCGCGUGAGGGAUGAAGGUCUUCGGAUUGUAAACCUCUGUCAGUAGGGACGAAGCGAAAGUGACGGUACCUAAAGAAGAAGCACCGGCUAACUACGUGCCAGCCGCCGCCGUAA
rnacentral:rRNA from 1 species